UAAUACGGAGGGUGCAAGCGUUAUCCGGAUUUAUUGGGUUUAAAGGGUCCGCAGGCGGAACGUUAAGUCAGUGGUGAAAGCCUACAGCUUAACUGUAGAACUGCCAUUGAUACUGAAGUUCUUGAGUGUGGUUGAAGUGGGCGGAAUAUGUCAUGUAGCGGUGAAAUGCAUAGAUAUGACAUGGAACACCAAUUGCGAAAGCAGCUCACUAAACCAUUACUGACGCUCAUGGACGAAAGUGUGGGUAGCGAACAGGAUUAGAUACCCUGGUAGUCCACACCGUAAACUAUGAUCACUAGAUGUUGGCGAUAUAAUGUCAGUGUUAAAGAGAAAUCGUUAAGUGAUCCACCUGGGGAGUACGUUCGCAAGAAUG
rnacentral:rRNA from 1 species